GGAGAAUGACGUCCAUGUUUUGCUCCAGCUCAUCCCAGCGUGGCGUGGGACAGGGAAGAGAAAUGGCUGCAGUGGAGUCAGUCCAGGGGCCGGUGACCUUCAAGGAGGUGGCUGUGUAUUUCACCAGGGAAGAGGGGACUCUGCUGGACCCCACUCAGAGAGCCCUCUACUAGGAUGUCAUGCAGCAGAACUACAAGAGUGUGACCUCGCUGGGUAAGGAUUCCUGUCCCAUCUCUUCUUGGAAGGGGAAAUGAAGAGUGAAGGUUCAUACCACCUCCAGUCUGUCCUGUUGCAGCAUCACCCCAAUAUGCCAGUGACACACACACUACCAGAGACCCUCCUCUGCUGCAGAACACUUUGGGAACAGAGCACAGGAGCAGUAUCACACAAUGUCAAAUAUCUCCUCUUUACUCAAGUAAAACUGAGGGUUAGGUCCAGCAUAAAGAAUAGAAGCUUCCUACCCCUGGUCUUCUCUCAAACCCUGAGCCUUCUCUACCCAAACCAGAAUGUGCUUGGGGUGUAACAAGCAGGCGGCUGGAGUCAGAGCUGCUGGUCCAGGGUUACUUAUCAUACAGACACUCGAUGCGUCCUUGAAUGCUGGCUGGGAGUAUCCAGACAGGGGAGCUCCAACAGCAGAACACUGAAUCUCAUCCAGGAUUACAGAUGACACAACUCCUUGCUGAUCUGGAUUGCACCCCAGCAUGUGAAAAUGGCCUAGAUUGGUAGUGACAUUUCUUGAGACAUAGAGAGUCUUGCUCCCAUAUCACCAGGUGUAAUAGCAAUAACAGGAAAGGCCAAAUAUGGAAAACUGAUUGUUCAGCUUGCUUUUGACCUGCAUAUUUUGCAAUAUAUUCCAAAUAAGGUAAUUAAUGUGCAACUUAUGUGUCAUUGUUUGUGGUUUUAAGUUUUAAAAGGCUUAUGUGAUUUUUAGCUCAGGGGGACAGUAUUCCAGUAGCUGUUGCCCCCUGUGCACUUUUAACCAAGAAAAAAGCCUCAGGCUGAGCUGAUUCAAAAUCAAUCCUGUGGUCGUUUUCCACAACAGCUUCAAGAGGUCCCUGUGAUGGAAUGUAAAUGUCUUCUUCACACCUUCCCCCUGCAGGAGAAUGGCUUUUUGACCAGCUAUUUGCCUUGCUGUCUCUGAGGAACUGGUCUCUGGGUGUUCCCCAGAACUGUAACUUUUUCAGUAAUAUCAUACUGUAAAAUCUUAUAAUUUUACAUACAGUGUUACUACACAUUUAACAGGAGGAUAAUAUGCAGUAGACUAGACGUUUUCAAAUGAUACCUCACAAGCCAUACUGUGUACAAAAUUGAUCAUAAUUUUUUAGAAGAGUGAACACAGGGGUAUAGACUGACACAGUGUCUGUGUGUGUUUCCAGCAGAUAUGUGGGUAUUUCAAUCCCUCAUAAGCACAAUGUUUGGCAUCUUCAAGGACCUGGGGAACUGGUCCUGGGAAUUCACUAGUUUACCAAGUGUGAGACUGCAUGAAAUUGUGAGACACUUUGGUAUUAAUAAUAUAAUAUGAUAAAAUUGCCAUGUAAGGUGUCAGUGAAAAUGUUAUGAUUGGCCAAGUAUGAUGAUUUUGUUUCUAUGUUUGUAUCACCUUUGUAUUGUGAAUUACAGAUAUGUAGGGUAUAUCUGGAAUUCCAGACUUGUGCAGUGUUUCUGGGUGACACCCCCAGACAUAUUGGCAUCAAUACUGCCUAGCCUGUUUGAUGGCCCAUUGAGGGUCAUCAGCUGUGCAAUGAGCCCUUGGCCAAGGGGAUACACCUAUUGAGUCAGCAAGACCUGCCAGGGUAUGCCUAUGUACUGAGACCUCCAAAGCUUUUCCAUGCCAUUUGCUGUGAAGCUUGUGUUUGGGACACAGGAAGUACAAGCCACAUGGCAAAAGGAAUAUAAAAUGCAGCUGCAUCAUCUCCAUUUUGUCUUCAAUCCCCCUUCCUAUCUCUGGAGCAACUUCUCUACAAACUGACUGCUUGCCCGUUUAACUUCUUUCAUUAAAAUGCUAAAGGAUUGUCUGGAAGGAUGGAAUUUUGGGUAAUAUCCAAACCUAUAGUGACAUGGUACUGUGGCUGACCCUUUGGGGUCAGAAGAACUCUUUAUUUAUGUGAGCAGAGUUUUUAAACAACCUCUCACUGUACUAGACCUAGUUGCUGAUUAGGAGCCAGAGAACUGGGGUGCAAUAAAGGGGGCUGUGUGGUUUCUUUUUUCAGCUUCUCGAUAACCCAUGUGUGGGAUUAGAAGCACAGUUUGUGAGUAGUCGGUGAGUUUAACUUCAGUGUUAACUACCAGUUUCAGGAGCAUCUGCUCUCCCUUUUUCAGCCUGCCCUAACUUUGGCAUUUUCAGUGAGAAAUUGCCCCUGGCCCACCAGGUCACAGUAAGCACUGAAGUUAAAGUAAUAGAAUGUUGUUUUUUUAUGACCAAGUCUUAUGAAAUCAACUGAACUCCUUUGUUUUCUUUCAUCUGAGACGGGUUUCUCGUUUUCCAGCGUGAUGUGAUCUCCCAGCUGGAACAAGGGGAAGAGCCAUGGGUCCCAGAGCUCCAGGGUUCAGAGGAAAGAGAGAUCCUGAGAGCUCCCUGCACAGCAGGGGAUGCAAUGGCAUGUGAGAAAGAGGAGCAGAAUUCUCAGCCUGAAAAUGUUGAGCAAGUGGGUAAAAACAGAGCAUAAUCGCAAAUAUCGAAAAGGAAUAUGUCCAGGAGUCAUGAGCAUGGAAAAUCCUAGGAGAUUCAGCACAGACCAGAAACAGAGCAAGGAAACCAGCCAGGGGAGAAAGUGGAUGAAUUUAUUUCCUCUUGGGGAACUCAGAAGGUCCUCAUUGAAACCACAACACAGCAGGAUAUCCUCAGGCGAAAGAGAAAAAAAUACAUGCAGUGGGUGUGGAAAAACCUUCUCUUGCAGCUCAACCCUUUCUGUACAUCAGAGAAUCCACACAGGGGAGAG